GGCGCUGGUGGUGGCACGUCCAGCCACGGCUGGGCCGGGGUUCGAGUCCCUGCAGUGUU
rnacentral:sRNA from 1 species